AGACGGAUGGAUCAUUUACAGCUUUAAUUUGAUCAGUAAAACGUGUAACUGAAUCCUUCUUCUGACACUGAACCUGUAGAACCAGAGCAAAUAAGGCAGCAGGUUCCACUCAGAACUCGUUUAGAACCUGGUAUUUCAUGGCGUUCUCUGUCUUUGUCACUUUAAUCUGCAGUGAAACUUUAUUUUCCACAGAUCCCAGCGUCCACAUACUUCUGUCUGUUUCCUCCCUCUGAGUCGCCUCCCGGUUCCUCCUCCCUCCCGGUUCCUCCUCCCUCCCGGUUCUCUCCACGUUCUCCUCCCCCUCCGGGCCCCCUGAUUGGCUGUCAGUAAGCCCAGAGCUCCGCCCCCUUCCUGCUGCUCAGAGGGAGGACAGUGAAAGUGGAGAACAGCAGCAGACGUGUUGCAACAGAUGGAUUCAGCUGCAGCCGCUCUGCAGAACCGUGGAGGAGAACCUCUGCGGACGUUCUACAAGUUGUGUGUUUGCUGCAAGGAGCUGAUGGAGCCGUGAGGUUCCUCCUCCAGGAGAACACCUGCUGACGGAUCCAGCAGGAGGCGCCGCAGCAGCAGACGUUCUUCUCCUCCAACUGUCCCUGCUGAGUCCAACACUGUGACACCUGCUGCAGGAGCUGAGGACCAUCAGGGUGAAGCAGCUGAUUGGUUGACCUGUCGGGGGGUCGGAGGUCAUGGCGGGCCGACUCCUCCUCUUCCUUUGCGUCUAUGUGACGCUUGGCCACGCCCACUUACCAUCCGGACAGCGUCUCAAGCCCCGCCUCCAGAGAGACAGACGCAACAUCCGACCAAACAUCAUCCUGAUCCUGACGGACGACCAGGACCUGGAGCUGGGUACGUGUACUACUAUAGAG